CAGCCGCGGUAAUACGUAGGGGGCGAGCGUUGUCCGAAGUUACUGGGCGUAAAGCGCGCGUAGGCGGGCCUUUAAGUCUGGUGUGAAAGGUUUGGGCUCAACCCGAACAGUGCACUGGAUACUGAGGGCCUUGAGUGCGGGAGAGGAGAGCGGAAUUCCUGGUGUAGCGGUGAAAUGCGUAGAUAUCAGGAGGAACACCGAUGGCGAAGGUAGCUCUCUGGCCUGCAACUGACGCUGAGGUGCGAAAGCGUGGGGAGCGAACGGGAUUAGAUACCCCGGUAGUCCACGCCGUAAACGAUGAGUGCUAGGUGUCCGUGGUAUCGACCCCACGGGUGCCGCAGCUAACGCAGUAA
rnacentral:rRNA from 1 species